AUAAAAUCAACCCAAAACCACCUAUCUGUCCAUCACUCCCUUUUCUCUCACUUUAAGCGUGUCCUUCCAAAGUUCCCUUCAUCACUUCAUGUACGGCAGUCUACACUCUAUUCUACCUUGCGGCACGAUAAGGCUUCAGUGUCACAACGCUUCAACCAGACAAAUCUACUAGUUCUAUACAAAUGAGGCAGCAGCCACAUGCGGACACCAAGGAUCCAGUAAAGGAACCACAGUUCACUUGGCUACUUAGGGUUUUGGUUUCAGUGGUGCAAUUUAUAUGCUUUUAUUACUGAUUUUGUUGGUAUACUUGAGUGUAAUGUAAUAGAGGUUGGUCAGAGAUUUUUGGCCGGAAGUAGAUCGACUAAAUCGGAGGUUGGACGCGCCCUCACGCGCCGCCCUUCUUUCUCUGCUGUUAGGCCUCCCCUGCUGUUCGGAGCUGCUGUACAGUGCGUACAGUUACUGUUUGGUGAUUUUACAGUUCGUACAGUCGGGUCGGAGCCCCAUUUUUGGUCGGGUUAUCAGUCUCCCUCAGGUUAUAUGGGUUUCGUGCGGUAAUGAACAUUUUCGGCUGUUCUGCGCCUUUUCUUUCGCGGUUUCUUUCUCGGUCUCUUCUGGGAGAAGCGUAAAACCCUCCCAAUUCAUGGCUUUGCUCAACUCCGAGCUUGUUUCGAUGGAUGUUGUUGAAAUGGUAGAAAAAGGGGAGAUUAGGAGAUUGGUGGACGAGUUGAACUGGAUUUCCCAACCUGUUACCUUGUCGGGAUGCGUGUAAGUACACCGUAGCAAUUACUUUUCAAUGUAUUACUUGAAAUUAGUUAAUAAAAAAUGUGUAUUUCUCAAUUUUGUGGAUUAUUUCUCUGUUGAGCUUUUUUAUAAGCUAUUUGUAAAAGUGUAUAACAUUUUUUUUACCAAAGUUGUCCUGUGUCUCGUGUAUAAUAUUUGAAUAGCUGUCUCAGAAUGGAUAAUUUUAGGAGUCCUAUCUAUUAUUAUUGUAUUAGCCAUUUCAAACUUAGCUGCUUGCACUAAUCUGGAAACAACUUAGUUAGAGGGGCAAGUUGUCUAUUUGAGUGCAAUGUUUGAUGCCAACUUAUUUUUGUUAAGGGCAUUUACCCACUUCAGCGAAGGUUGCAUUCCCCCCCUAACCUUUUUUCCUUUAUUUUGGACAUAUAAAAUGUUUUAUAACAAAAUAGUACUUCUUCGUUUCUCGUGACAAAUUGGUAUAUCCUAACAAAACUUAAGAUGCCGUCUCUAAUUGCUUCAUUCUAGCAUAUGAUUUGUGAUAUAUUAUUUAAUAAGGAGAUGUUUUUUUGUUUUUGUUUUUUUUAAUUAACUGUAGUAGAUGUUAAAUGUGCUUGCUAUGAAAGUGGUGUGAAUUUAACAAUUCCCUUUGAUAUGAUAUUUCAUAAUUUAGUUGGCUGGUACAAAAGAUAAAUACUUUUCACAAUGGAAAAGAGGUUAGAAUUUUUAUCCAUCAGCCCAAUGAAAUUGUUUCAAUUUUGCUUGGCCCAUUUUAUUUGUCUUAAAACUUAAGAAACUUGUGCUCACAUUUUGAUUGCAAUUAUUGAAUAUUAUUAUUUAUUAACAAAAAUUGUAAACAAGAUUUAAAAUAUUAGUGCUUGCGAUGCAUUAUAUUAAUGUUCUAUUAAUUAUUAGGAAGAGGACCAGUUAUCUGUUAUAUUAUUUGAAAAUUUCCUUCUCUAAUAUCAUAUGCAUAGUUUUAGUCAUUUUUGAAAGGAAUCAACUCCUGUAACAUUUCAAAACUUGUAUGAGGAAAUAAAUACAUGUGAUGUAAAUUAUGGCUUAUGGACUCUAUAAGUUUUUUGUCAAUGGAGAGUAUAUAUUUAGAAAAUGAUCAGUCAUAUAGGAUGUCCAAAACACGCCAUAGUUAUAAAACUAAUUGCUCAAGUUAGGUGAGAUAGAGUAAUGGGAGUUGAUCAUUAGAUAAAAAUGAUCCCUGGUUGCUUACUGAAGAAUCUGAGUCCCUCAUGGGUUGUAAUUUUAAAUAUUGUUCUCAUAGAUGAAUUAUUUUUCCUACUACAAAAUAUUUUGAUUAGAUGAAUCAACUCUGGUGAAGAGAAUAGCAUUUUCAAUAGCCUUAGUGCACUCAGAUGAUAAGAGUCAGUUUGUAGUGUACAGUCGGAGACAAUUUGUUAUUCCGUUAGAGUUCUUAAAAAUGGCAGAGGAAGAGUACGAGCUGCAAAUACAUGGACCGAUCACACUUCCAUGUGAUGCAGUUUUUAUGGAGUACGUGAUCUCUUUGAUCCAAAGACAUCCGACUAAAGAUCUGAAAAAGCAAUCCUAAUGUUCAUAAAUUCUGGUCACUGCAUAUCAUCUUGGUACAUCCAGCAGAAACAAACCAACAGAUUCUAGUUCCUGGCUUAUGAAGAUAAUUAGACUUUGAUUUUGUAAAUGAUCAACAUUUAUUGUAGCUUUAUACAUUAUUUAUUUGUGGGAUCCCAAAACAAUUCAUAUAUGAGCUUCCGAAACACCAAACUAUUUUGUUCUACGCAAAACAAACAUUACAGCCAUAUCAUGUGUCACUUGUUAUUAUAAAAUCUACUAUGUACUUUUAAUUGGAAAUCUGUGUGCAACCAACCAGGUAUAAACACCAUCUUUGUCCCAAAUGUGAACUUCAGCCAUCAUGAUGCAUUUUAAGGUUUGUUGCAAACACACUUAAAAAUGUCAUCUUUUGAUGAUUUUAAUAGAUAAAUGUACACGAAACAUAUAAUAUCUUGUCAACCUGGAAGUGGCCUUAGGUGAAUGUGAUUUAAUUUUUUGUCUUUUUAUUAUGCUCGUUUGAUCAGAAUUUUGUUGACCGUAGAUUUUGCAAAAUAAAGGCAUACCUUCUUAAAUGACAUUACCCCUUAACUAGCAUAAGUAUUUAAGCCUUCCCUGUUUUUUCUUUUUUCAGUCUCUCUUCCCACUUGUGUCUGUCCAAAACAAAACCUGAGCUGCGAAUAAACAUACCAACUUAGGUCGCAAAAUUCGAAUAAUAGAACAUGAAGACCAAGAAUUGAAGUCUAUGCCCAGAUCUUCCUUGUUGCUGUUGAAUCGAACAUAUAGUUUUCCUUGUUGUUGUUGAAUAGAACAUACAAUCUUCCUUGUUGCUAUUCAAUCGAACAUACGAUCUUCCUUGUUCUGUUGAAUCAAGAAAACUUGACCCUUACAAGAUAACAUGUUCUUUUAUCUGUUAUUUGCCUAAAUUUUGGAAAAAAUUCCGACUGAUUUGGAUUUUGGGUAGGCUGGUGUUGUUGCAGUUUCAGAAUUUUGUUUGGGGGGGUGUUUGUGAUGUAAAGAGCUGUUUUUUUGUUGUGGUAUAAGUUUCAAACAGUGAAUGUUGAGAUGCUAAAAGAUGGAAUUUUUAUUUGUUAUUUUAUAGGGUUAUUGAAUCUUGGAAUUAAUUUGGAGUGAUUUGGAUUUUGGGCAUAUAAUCUUGCCCAAUUGGAUGCCCUUGACAAUGCUGCGGCUGCAAGAAUUGCUUCUGUGGAAUUUUGUUGAAAGUCAAAGACCAUUACAAAACUAUCACCAGAAUUAUGGUAUUGUGCUAGCUUACUAGGCUAACAGUCUAAUCAAAUGGUUGCAUCGUUCCUAUCUUAAUGAUCAUAAUUGGUUCAACACCAUGAUUCUGAAAUGACUGCUCCACUAAAUGAUCUUUAUUUAAGCGAACUAUAUAUGCUUUGGUAAUCCCUGGAGCGCCUUGGUCUUUGUUUCUCCCGUGUUCUUAAAAUGCCAUUGGAGUUUCUUGCAUCUCGGAGGUGUUCUUUGUUGGUAAAUAUGGGCUUUUCUAUCUCCUGUUCUAUAUUGAGUAUAACUGAUGCAUUUAGAGACUUGUAGAAUGGUGGCUUGCCACCUUUAGUGCUCAGGACUUUCUCAUCACAGUUCCUAUUUAUUUAGUUAGUAAUUUUUCUUGUUGAGACUGUUUGGCUGACUUCAAGUAUGCAGGUGUUUUAUAUAUACUUGUACAACUUGUGACGUUUCGCCAUUAUCAGUCUAGUAGCAUCUUCUUUUGUAAAUAUUAGCUAUUUAUAUAGGAUCUUCAUUGAGGUAAUCUGGACUCAACACAGUCCAAAUUCCUGACAAAACCAGUAAGCUUAGUUUAAAACAAAAUUAAGAAUACUAGCUUUUAUCACCAAGUGGACUACCGACCUCUCAUUUGCCAUGUGUCUUCUAGUUAUAUCCUCUCUAUCCUUAGCCUUCUGUUAGAUGCCAGGCUAGUGUUGGCCUUUUAAUGUUUCCUGAUAUAAACUGAAGUUCUUGUUAAGCUAUUUGACAAAACAUUUUUUUCAAAGUAUGUGCUUCAGAGGAUUAAUGUUUCUGUUUUGCAUUUCAACAUGCAAAUGAAGAAUUUAAAAUUAGCUGAAAGCGGGUUGCAAUCACAAACAUGUUUGGUCUUAGUUUUAUUGGACCAUUUUGCCACUUUUGGUAUGUUUUUGAUUGUUUGUUUAUUCUUAUUCCAUUAUGAAUUUCUCUGAUUGUGACGUUCUUUUUACAGUCUUUUGAGUGUUCACUUUAGUUUGCAUACAUUCUUCCCCUAUGGAUGAUUGUCUGGCAAUACAGUGGUGUAAAGAGUUGUGAGGUACUUCACCAAGACUUUGCUAAUAGAGGUCCUCUAACACCUUCUAACUUCUCUGGUAGUGCUGUUUUGCAUUCCCUAGAAUGCUUCAUAAGUCUGCUGAAGGGCUUUUAAGUGCACAAAAACUAUUUUAAAAAUCGCAAAAUAUUUGAGAAAAUAUACGUAUAUAUAUUACAAUAGAAUUUCAGUCAUAAAUAUACGUAUAUAUCCUUGAGAAAAUUAAGAGGUUCAUAUGGAACUAAAUAUCUCUACAUUCCUCAAAAAUAAAAGCAUCUCAACAUUAAACGUGUUUUAUUUAAAACAACUGGAAUUACAAACACAACUCUAUUAUUUAUAGAUAUAAGCUUCAGAUACCUUGGUGGAUGCAUCAUCUCUUUUCCAAAAGGGAACUGGCUAAUUCUAAUUUCACAGAUUAGUUGAUAGAUAAAAAUUGAAUAUUUUACUAUCUAUGAGAUGCAUGUGUUGCUCUGUUCACUUGUGGGAGGAUUUUCUUAUUAAUAUUUUUUCCUUUUUUGUGGUUGGUAUGAAAAUAUGGACCUAUUUUUUAGGGUUGGACUCAAACUACAGCCUAAUUCAGUGCGGAUUGUGGAUACUAAAGUGGCAAUGGAUGGCCUGAUCUCAUAUUCUCAUGUUUCUGUCUUUAUUAAG
rnacentral:lncRNA from 1 species